GGAUGAACGUUGGCGGCGUGCCUAAUACAUGCAAGUCGAACGAAGACUGUAGUAAUACUGUCUUAGUGGCGAACGGGUGAGUAACGCGUGGGUGACCUGCCCCGAAGUGUGGGAUAACAGUUCGAAAGAACUGUUAAUACCGCAUAAUAUCCAAGAGAUUAGACGCUUUUGGAUUAAAGGAGUAAUUCGCUUCGGGAGGGGCCCGCGUCCCAUCAGCUAGUUGGUAAGGUAAUGGCUUACCAAGGCGAUGACGGGUAGGGGACCUGAGAGGGUGGCCCCCCACAAUGGAACUGAAACACGGUCCAUACACCUACGGGUGGCAGCAGUAGGGAAUAUUAGUAAUGGGCGAAAGCCUGAACUAGCAACGCCGCGUGUGCGAAGAAGGCCUUCGGGUUGUAAAGCACUUUUUGAGAGGAUGAGGAAGGACGGUACUCUCAGAAUAAGUCUCGGCUAACUACGUGCCAGCAGCCGCGGUAACACGUAGGAGGCAAACGUUAUCCGGAUUUACUGGGCGUAAAGCGCGUGUAGGUGGUUUGGUAAGUAGGGCGUGAAAGCUCCUGGCUCAACUGGGAGAGGACGUCCUAAACUGCCAAGCUUGAGGAUGGUAGAGGGAGGUGGAAUUCCGGGUGUAGCGGUGGAAUGCGCAGAUAUCCGGAGGAACACCAGUGGCGAAGGCGGCCUCCUGGACCACUCCUGACACUCAGACGCGAAAGCUAGGGUAGCAAACGGGAUUAGAGACCCCGGUAGUCCUAGCCCUAAACGAUGUAGACUUGGCGUCGGUGGUUUAAUCGCCAUCGGUGUCGUAGCUAACGCGUUAAGUCUACCGCCUGGGGACUACGGCCGCAAGGUUAAAACUCAAAGGAAUUGACGGGGACCCGCACAAGCGGUGGAUGAUGUGGAUUAAUUCGAUGCAACGCGAAAAACCUUACCUACCCUUGACAUGCCAGGAACUUGCCAGAGAUGGCUUGGUGCCCGAAAGGGAGCCUGGACACAGGUGCUGCAUGGCUGUCGUCAGCUCGUGUCGUGAGAUGUUGGGUUAAGUCCCGCAACGAGCGCAACCCUUGUCGUUAAUUGCCAUCAUUUGGUUGGGCACUUUAACGAGACUGCCGGUGACAAACCGGAGGAAGGUGGGGAUGACGUCAAGUCCUCAUGGCCCUUAUGGGUAGGGCUUCACACGUCAUACAAUGGUCGGUACAGAGGGUUGCCAAGCCGCGAGGCGGAGCCAAUCCCAGAAAGCCGAUCGUAGUCCGGAUUGCAGGCUGCAACUCGCCUGCAUGAAGUCGGAAUCGCUAGUAAUCGCGGAUCAGCAUGUCGCGGUGAAUACGUUCCCGGGUCU
rnacentral:rRNA from 1 species